rnacentral:tRNA from 1 species
UCCCUGAUGGUUUUGUGGUCAGGCUUUGGCAUUUUCACUGCUGCUGCCCGGGUUCAACACCUGGUCAUGGAA